AACACUGAGGCUGUGAAAAGAUACCAUGUUAUAGAUCACGCAUUUGAUACUAUUUUGCAGAGACAAACACAAUACUGUCAUCUUCAAAUUAAACGAAGAGCACAGAACCAAGGAAAUCCCACCAAUUUUCUAACUUCAGUGUUUUGUUCCCAGAAAAAUUAUGCUAGGGGUAAAGUAUAUCCUUUAGGGCACAAUAAAUACCAAUUUUAAAAAGCUUCCUAUACUUUAAACGAGAUUAAGGAUGACAGUUUACAAAUUAUGUCAGUUAGAAUCUAUAAUUAGUGCUUCAAGUCAUUAGCAUUACAUUAACCAUGACUACUUUUAAGUAAUUAUGCAAUCUAAUUUUAGAUCUUGUAAGUGAGAAAACCUUACCUGUAUUAAGAAAUGAUGUAGUUAAGCUGAUUAAAUAGACAUCCAUAUCAUCCAUAAAAGUAUGCCUUUUCAGUACAUUUAAAAACAAUUUCAUGAUUAUAAAAAAUUUAUAAGAGAAAUUUUAAUGAAAAUCCUCUAAAAAAUUACAGGUAGAAGAAAAGGCUUUUAAAGUAGUUAAUAUGCCACUGCUCUUUUAUAUAUGGACAUUUUGAAAACUUUUGGUUCUCUAAGAAACUGAAUCCGUGUGAAGCUUUUAGGGACUCCCUAGUUUCUAGUUUGUUUAAACAGCCUUGACUUUUAAAAUAGAGACCCAGAGAUAAAGGGCAAACUUUUAUGACUAAAGAUUCAAGAAACAGCCUUCCAUAGUAAAGCGACUGUAAUUUAAACACAUAAUUCCACACAUUAUCCUAUUUGAUCUUAAUAACUAAUUGAAAUUUGGUUAAUGACAAGGUCCUUAUUUAUUUUUUCAUUUCCUUAAUUUUAAGAAAUGGGAUUAGGUCUAAAUCACAGAGGGAGGCUGGAUAUUGAGGAAAAAGAGUAACAUUUAAGUUUCUUGUCGGUUACACACUCUGGUCAAUUAUCCAUUCAUCCAUUUGAUCCUGAUACUCUUUACCAUGUUCCAUGGCAGUGUGCUGAGCAAUUACAUACAUUACCUUAUUUAACCACAGUUAAACCAUGUAAGAUUGGUGAUAUUAUCCCCUUGUAGAGAGAAGGCAACAAGUCCAAAGUUACAAACUGCUGGCAAGUGGUGGAACAAGGACUCAACAUUAUGUGUACCUGAGUCCAGAGUUAUUGUUUAAAAACCAUUCUGUUCAUCUUAUCCCUUGCCCAAACUGAAGGAUUCAAUCUGAUUUGUCAUUUCUUGAGCCAUAUAGUGCUGUGUAGGUGAUUAAGCUCUCUGUUAACCCAGACAGCUGAUAAAUUUUCUUUGCCUACCAAAUAAACGCUUAUUUACUGUGGAGGCGGCAUUUCAAUCAUUUUUAGAAUAUAUAACACAAUGGUUACUAUAUUGAAGUUUCUGUUGUGAGUGGUUACCACGUCUCAUUGGUGUUCUUUUGCUACCCAGGUUGCUUUCCCCUUUGUUUAUCUUUCAUGGCCUGUCAAGGACACAUCCCUGCAUAGGAUGCUCAGAAUUGGCUGGCAGUGGUGGGAUCUGAAGCAAAUAUCUAUUGGCAUUUAGGAACGAUGAGAAACACAGCCAGAAGAACCUUGAAGGGCGGACAUUCAUCCUUCCUGACAGUUGGCAUAAAGAGCAGGAUGUUUUAAACUCACUGGAUACCACUCUCCCCCAGCAUUGCUGCAGCAGAGAGAUCCUUGGGAAAUCUGACAUAUAGCCAGCGGAAGACACAGAUUUAUACAGACUCAGAUAUGACCAGACAGCUUUAAGGAUUUUAUGGAGCCUAUAAAGCCCCCUUGGAAAUAUCAGCCUGAUAACUAUUGCUUAUGGAGUUCUCAGCAACUUUACCAGGUAAGAAAAGAAGAUCAUUUCCUGGCCAGUGCAGGAACCUAGAGAAAAGAAUUCACCCAAAUCUAUAGGUACUGCAGGUGAAGUCUAAUGGCAACUGACAAUUUAAUCUGGAGAUUUCUUAUGAAUAGUUCCAGCAAAGCAGGUUUAAAGAGCCUAUAUGGUCAACUGCUAUUCUUGCUGCACUUAAGUAAAUUAAUCAGGCCAUGUUCUUUUAAAACCAAACUUAUUUUGCAAACAAAUUAGUGUCAAUUUGGCUAUCUUUGGUAGAAAUGGUGAUUACAGAAAGAAAAACACACCUGUGUAUUAGAUUUUAAUACUACUCAUCAAAAACUGGACUAGAUCCAGAUUACCUCUAGUUUCCUCCAAUGACUAGCUAAAACUCUCUAAACUCAUAUUUUCAGUUUUUCUCCUACCCUUCUGACUAGGAAUCAUUUGAGAACUAAAACUGCACUCUUCCCUGAAGCCCUGCAAAGCAAAUAAAAACAACUUGAGGUAACCUUCAGAAAAAUCACACUACCUCCCAUCUAGACCCUCUGCAUCCCUAUUGUUCUAGGGGCCACUCACAAGAUCAGAGAUAUGUGGACUCUAAACCAGGAAAAUCUGUCAGACUGUCACUUUUUACUCCCACUCCAGCUGAGGAUAUGUUCAGCUGGACAUCUAGAAGUCAGGACUGGCUACCCUCAGAACUCAGAAACUUUGAUCCAAUCCUUAACCAUUAUUUCCUUUUGUUCUGAAACAGAACACCUGAUUGAUUAUUUAAUUAAAUCACAGGCUCACUUUAAGAAUAUACCUGCAUCAUGGGCUCCUGAAGUGAGAUUAUAACUGAGCUGAUCUAUUGACAGUACUAAAAGACUGAUUCAACAAGAUGGAACAAUCUACCAGGGCUCAACUUUAUGUGUGUGAAACCAGGGAUGUCUCAGAGGAAACUUCAAGUGCCAAGGGCAGGCACUAAGAUGGGCCACUUUGUCCAUGCCCAUUACUUUCAGUUAAAAGCAGUCAAAAACCAGUAGAUUUAGGAAAAACUCCUUACCUCCCCACCAAAUGCCUAUGUUUACAACUAUAGAAAGGACAGCCUAUACCCUGAGAGAGCUACUGAGAUUCCUUUUUACCUAAGAUGCUUAUUUGUGUAACAGCAACCUUUAUUUUCCAAACAUCUCCUCUCACCUUCCUGCUAAUGGCUGUCCUUCCCUUUAUAUCCUCAGAACCCCACCCCCCCAUUCUUACCUCAGGAUGUCAUAUAAGCCUCACAUUGCCUGAAUGUCUUUGGAAUUUCAUGUCUGUUUUCUCCUGUUAAUCUGUCUCAUGUCAAUCUUAGUCCAGCUAGAAGGGCAAAGGACAUUCUUCCUCCCCAGUAAUACCAGAAAAAAGAACAACAUAAUGGUAACGGAGAGCAGCACUAACGUCUCAAAUUUUGAUCACAUUUUUCAGUUAAGCUGAGACUGAGCAAAGGGGGAACUGUUAAACUACAGGCCCCAAAUGGUGUCACUUAGGUCAAACCAGGGCUUAACACCUACAUUAACUGCACUUUCAAACUUUCCCAGAAAUGUAGUUUUAACUGAAUAAUGGGGGAUCUUCCGAUGAGUGAAUGGGCCCUCUACACAGAAGGUAAUCUGUGUAAGACCCCUUGUUUUUAUCCUCAGAGGAAAGGGAGCUUGCCUGGAACAAUCCUUUUCUUUUGCUAGUAAUUUUCUUGCCCCACCUUUCUUCCUAUAAAAACCUUCCAUUUUGUACAAUGCAUCGGGCUUCCAUACCCUCUAGUUGCUAGAUAAGAGGCAGCCCAAAUAAUUUAAAAAAGUGAAUUAGAUCUUCAGAUUUACUCCACUGAUUUUUGUUUUUUAACAAGGGAGCAAAUUGCCUUACCUGCAA